GAUUUUGGUGGCUGAAAUGAAACAGGCAGCUGGUUGUAAACCAGAGUAUGGACGUAGAUCCCCAGGUCU
rnacentral:tRNA from 1 species